CGGCGGCGGUGCGAGGCGUGGUGAGCCGCGGCGUGGGUUCGGUUCGGUUGGGUUCGCGUGGUUCCUUGCGGUGUUUGUGCGUGUGGGGUGUGGGGAUUUAAAACGGGCGGGGCAGGGAAAGGUUUGGGAGUCAAAGGUUGUGGUGAGCUUGACGUGGACUUGAACUACGGGCAGUAUAUUAUUUUUUCUUUGCUUGGGCGUCCACAAAGCUUAGCUAGCCGCCCACCAAGCCAUAGAUAGCAGUAGCGCUAUGGAAAUGGAAGAGAUCGAGGAGGUUAAAGUGUGUUCUAGUGCAUGCAUGUGUAAUUAACAACGAGUGAAGGAUAAAAACACGUUUUUGACCGUCCAAUUAAGCUCGUAGUUGCAGAAUCAGAGCCAAGAACUUGAAGCGAAGCAAAACUCAG
rnacentral:lncRNA from 1 species